AUGUAGGGCAAUCUGUUUUUAAGUAGGGGUAAAUUACUCUUAAUAGAAAAAAAAGGAAUCCUAAUUUUCCCUUCAAAGUCAAGCAUCUUUU
rnacentral:pre_miRNA from 1 species